CAUGUAUGACUGAAGCAUUGUGCUGUACACCAGAAAUUGACACAACAUUGUAAACUGACUAUAUUUCAUUAAAAAAGAGUAAAAAGGUGAAAAAAACAAAAAGAAACAAUGAAAAUGGCCCACCACCUCCUGACACCAGAGGCUCGGCCUUCUUUCUCCCCUUUCCAGGGAGGGGACCUUAGGCCAAAGGAUGAAGCUGUCUGUCAAACCCACUCCCGCCUUCUGAGGCUGACUUGAGGAACAAAUCACAGACUAGAUGGAAAGGCAUCUGCAAAGUUGAAAGUGCUACAGCAGUAAAAGGAGCGGCCCCAUGACAGGGGACUUACAUCUGGUACUCAGUUCCUUUGGUGCAUCAGCUGGACCCAGCAUCUCUUCAUCGACUCCUGCAGGUGCCAUCUACCUGGGUCUCACCUCCGUUUACUUCCUGCUGCCUGUCACAGGCCAUGUCCACCGUAUGCUUUAAGACUGGGGCGAACUUCCUGCGGUGGGAUAGACACCUAUUCCGUGGACUGUCCCUUUAGGAGCCCUGCUUCGUUUCGGGUGAAUGUGUGAUCUGAGCAGAUCAGGCAUAACUUCCCGCAUCCUGACAAGCUGCUACAUGUGUGUGUUUUCUCUUCCCAGAGGUAAAACUUGUGAGUGCCAGGUUCACAGGAGGAGUGCCACCACCCUUGGCGUUGCCACAGAAGAGCACUUCACGUAUCGUUGUCGGAGCAGGAGCGCAGCAGCCAAGCUUAGCCAGCUCCAUCCCGCCGCCCCUUCCCACUUGGCCCUCACCUGGUUGGGAGCUGGGGGUGGGGACUGGACUUGGUCUGCCCAGGCCUUUGUCCCUUUGGGCCUGGCAUGUGAGGCCAGGAUAGCACAGGGCACCUUCUGCUCCUGGUUGCAAUGGGAGAGCUGGAGGGUAAAUGCUGAAAAUAAUAUUCUGGGGUGAGGGCCAAGGUCAUGGCCAGAGAGUAUGUUCAAACAAUGUCAUAAAUUAAAGUAACUAUUGGAACACUGCUCCUGAGUCAACGGAGCCAAAAUGAGUGGUGUUGAGCCACAGAGCAACCAAAGACGAAGAGAGGGAGGGAGUGGGCCAGGCCCCCGGGGGAAGGUCACUGAGGCCUCUGCCCGCAGGCUGGCGGGUUCAGGGGGUUCCAGGCCCACAGACACGCAGGCAGGGGAAGGAGUGCUCACUUAUUUACGGAGUCAUUCCGUGUGCUCCCAGGACCCGGUUCAUCCUGAUCUCUGAUAUAAAGCUCUUCACAGAUGGGCAGGAGAUUCUACUCUUCCAUUAUUCUGAUCAAAAAAACAAGCCGUGAUACAGAGCCAGUUUCGAGUUUAAUCAUAUUUCCUUUAUCCAAGUAGAAAUCAAUCCCUAUUUUUGUGCAGCCCUGCGGAACAGCCAGGAUGCAGGGCUUCAGCACAAGGGGCCCAGGCAGCCGUACAGCCACAUACAGCCAGCACCGCGCGGUGCACACAAGCCCGUGACUACUCACUUGCUGCACGCCUGCAUCACGGGGACAAGCCGGAUGCUGUUUUGUGACGGUCUCCGUACUUUAUCUGACUAUCCAUAUACUUCCUCCUCUUCCUGUUGGGACAUUUUCGUCCAUGCCCAAUGCCGUAAGAUUCCAAAGGAAAUAUGAGAACGUUAUGACAGUCUGAAUCAGAGUCCAAUCGCAAGGCUAGGCUUUCUGUCACAAAUUCAAUCAUAUCAUGAAAACUAAGCAGAGGCCUUAAGGAAAAAGACUUUUCAAACCUCGAGAAUAAUCGGACCGCUUCUACGAUACGACUGAGUUAUAACUACAUACUUGUUUCGUACGAAGGCAAAACUAUGUUGGUGCCUGUUACCUACACAUUAAAUGACUUAAUUCUUAAAUAAAAACUUCUGCCAAAAACAAACACAUAUAGCCAUUGGAAGCUGGCACGCAUUAGCAAUUUUAAUCGUCUGGUGACUGAAUUAUUCUUCCUAUGUUAUCCUGCUUUGAAAUGCUGAUGUAUUGCCUUCUUUGCUAGUUGAGGGGAAAGUAUGUCUCUGCGUUUUUUCCCCUCCUUUCCUCUCACUGCCAGAGGGGAAGGAAGGAAGGAAGGAGAGGGAAGGAGCCCAAAUCCCUCACCCCCUGAACUGUGUAAUUGGAUGGAGACCCACCUCGGCGGCAGGAGAUGAAAACAGUCCAGGUGGCCCAUGAAUAAUCCAGAGUUGACUGUACUGUUCAUUCUCUGGGUUUUCUGAUGAGAAUAUAAAAAAGUUCUGGACUCUGGAGGACAAGAAAACAAGAAAAAGCCGUUUUUAUUUAAAAAAAAAUCUUCUUCAUUCACAACCUCACUGCCCAUUGAGUGAAACUGAUCACUUUUGUUAAACAUUGCAUUUUCUGGUAGGAAAGUUCAAACCUGAUUGAGAGUUAUAUUCCUUUUUCUGUGUCCAAGGAUUUAUAUGUGCAAUUUCUCUUAGUAUUAAUUCUUUCUAUCAACACUUCAGUGUGUCACUAAAAAAAAUGUUUGAAAGCACAAGAUUCUUUUCUAACCAGUGACCGGAAAAGAGGAGCGACUUGGGCAUGCGGUCUUCUUUCAGAUGGUAACAAGCACUCUCUGGACAAAAUGAACCUCAAGGGUUUGGGGGAAAUUGACUCCCCUCCCAGGCUUGUCGUUGAGGGGAGAGAAUGGCGGCAAGGUGGUGGAGAGGCAACAAAAUGCUCACGUCAGCACUGACACCGGGAGGUAGGUGGUCCCUCAGCCACUAGCCACGUGGCUGCCAUGGGCAGUGAUACCACGAUCACCACGGAUACCCCAAGUGCUCUCAGCUUCGAAGGCUGUGUUAUUUUAAAUGAAUACUCACUUCGGUGUCCAGGGCUGAGGAAGUCUUACCUGAUGGAUGAUCAAGAGUUUAUGGUCAUUCUCUUUGGCAGGUGGAGCCCUGCCAAAGCGAAGGGGAAUGAGGGAAACUUGUUGAACUGCCAAGUGCGCUGUGUUUCAUGAUUAGAGAUCCACCUUCUUGUCCUUGUUUUGCCUGCAAAUAGCUGUGACUUUGGGCACAUUGCUCCUUCUCUUGGGUUGCACUUGCCUUUACGACUGGUGAAUUCAGCGCUACUUUUUCUGACAUCAAGUUCCUACAUUCUGUAAUUACAGCAACCAAACCAGCAAGGAUGUUGUUAAGAUUGUUAUGUGAGUAAUGAAUUCUCAAAUGUGAAUUAAAGAACGAAUUCCUAUGGCAA